UACGUAGGGAGCAAGCGUUGUCCGGAUUCAUUGGGCGUAAAGAGCUCGUAGGCGGUUUGGCAAGUCGGGUGUGAAAACUCCGGGCUCAACUCGGAGACGCCACUCGAUACUGCCAUGACUCGAGUCCGGUAGGGGAGUGCGGAAUUCCUGGUGUAGCGGUGAAAUGCGCAGAUAUCAGGAGGAACACCGGUGGCGAAGGCGGCACUCUGGGCCGGUACUGACGCUGAGGAGCGAAAGCGUGGGGAGCGAACAGG
rnacentral:rRNA from 1 species